GCAGGCUGCAACUCGCCUGCAUNAAGUCGGAAUUGCUAGUAAUCGUAGGUCAGCAUACUACGGUGAAUACGUUCCCGGGCCUUGUACACACCGCCCGUCAAACCAUGAGAGUUGGCAACACCCGAAGUCGGUAGUCUAACCGCAAGGAGGACGCCGCCGAAGGUGGGGUUGAUGAUUAGGGUUAAGUCGUAACAAGGUAAC
rnacentral:rRNA from 1 species